AACGAACGCUGGCGGCAGGCUUAACACAUGCAAGUCGAACGGGUGUAGCAAUACAUCAGUGGCAGACGGGUGAGUAACACGUGGGAACCUUCCUCGUUGUACGGGACAACUCAGGGAAACUUGAGCUAAUACCGUAUACGUCCGAGAGGAGAAAGAUUUAUCGCAAUGAGACGGGCCCGCGUCGGAUUAGCUAGUUGGUAGGGUAACGGCCUACCAAGGCGACGAUCCGUAGCUGAUCUGAGAGGAUGAUCAGCCUCACUGGGACUGAGACACGGCCCAGACUCCUACGGGAGGCAGCAGUGGGGAAUCUUGGACAAUGGGCGCAAGCCUGAUCCAGCCAUGCCGCGUGAGUGAAGAAGGCCUUAGGGUUGUAAAGCUCUUUUGCCAGGGACGAUAAUGACGGUACCUGGAGAAUAAGCCCCGGCAAACUUCGUGCCAGCCGCCGCAGUAAUAC
rnacentral:rRNA from 1 species